rnacentral:snoRNA from 1 species
CACCUCAUUCUAGAUGAAAACAGUACUGUGGAUCCUGGUGUUGAGGAAUUGCUAAUAGGACUAAACCCAGGUUCAGGAUGUGCUUGACCACAGUGAACUGAUUGUCAUGGUGACAAAGAAGCCUAUGCUAUUU